rnacentral:rRNA from 1 species
UACGUAGGGUGCAAGCGUUAAUCGGAAUUACUGGGCGUAAAGCGUGCGCAGGCGGUUGUGCAAGACAGAUGUGAAAAUCCCCCGGGCUCAACCUGGGAAUUUGCAUUUGUGACUGCACGGCUAGAGUGUGUCAGAGGGGGGGGUAGAAUUCCACGUGUAGCAGUGAAAUGCGUAGAGAUGUGGAGGAAUACCGAUGGCGAAGGCAGCCCCCUGGGAUAACACUGACGCUCAUGCACGAAAGCGUGGGGAGCAAACAGG